UGGGGAAUCUUGCGCAAUGGGGGAAACCCUAACGCAGCGACGCCGCGUGCGGGAUGAAGGCCUUCGGGUUGUAAACCGCUUUCAGCAGGGACGAGGCCUUAUGGUGACGGUACCUGCAGAAGAAGCUCCGGCUAAAUACGUGCCAGCAGCCGCGGUAAUACGUAUGGAGCAAGCGUUAUCCGGAUUCAUUGGGCGUAAAGCGCUCGUAGGCGGUCUGUUAGGUCGGCAAGUUAAAUCCGGGGGCUCAACCCCCGUCCGCUUCCGAUACCGGCAGACUUGAGUUUGGUAGGGGAAGGUGGAAUUCCUAGUGUAGCGGUGGAAUGCGCAGAUAUUAGGAAGAACACCGGUGGCGAAGGCGGCCUUCUGGGCCAUAACUGACGCUGAGGAGCGAAAGCUAGGGGAGCGAACAGG
rnacentral:rRNA from 1 species